rnacentral:rRNA from 1 species
CCUACGGGAGGCAGCAGUGGGGAAUUUUGGACAAUGGGCGCAAGCCUGAUCCAGCCAUGCCGCGUGAGUGAAGAAGGCCUUCGGGUUGUAAAGCUCUUUCGGCCGGGAAGAAAUCGCAUUGGUUAAUACCUGGUGUGGAUGACGGUACCGGAAUAAGAAGCACCGGCUAACUACGUGCCAGCAGCCGCGGUAAUACGUAGGGUGCGAGCGUUAAUCGGAAUUACUGGGCGUAAAGCGUGCGCAGGCGGUUUUGUAAGACAGGCGUGAAAUCCCCGGGUUCAACCUGGGAACUGCGCUUGUGACUGCAAGGCUAGAGUACGGCAGAGGGGGGUGGAAUUCCACGUGUAGCAGUGAAAUGCGUAGAGAUGUGGAGGAACACCAAUGGCGAAGGCAGCCCCCUGGGUCGAUACUGACGCUCAUGCACGAAAGCGUGGGUAGCAAACAGGAUUAGAUACCCUGGUAGUCCACGCCCUAAACGAUGUCAACUAGGUGUUGGGAGGGUAAAACCUUUUAGUACCGGAGCUAACGCGUGAAGUUGACCGCCUGGGGAGUACGGCCGCAAGGUUAAAACUCAAAGGAAUUGACGGGGACCCGCACAAGCGGUGGAUGAUGUGGAUUAAUUCGAUGCAACGCGAAAAACCUUACCUACCCUUGACAUGUCAGGAAGUCUUGAGAGAUUGAGAUGUGCCCGAAAGGGAACCUGAACACAGGUGCUGCAUGGCUGUCGUCAGCUCGUGUCGUGAGAUGUUGGGUUAAGUCCCGCAACGAGCGCAACCCUUGUCGUUAAUUGCCAUCAUUUAGUUGGGCACUUUAGCGAGACUGCCGGUGACAAACCGGAGGAAGGUGGGGAUGACGUCAAGUCCUCAUGGCCCUUAUGGGUAGGGCUUCACACGUCAUACAAUGGUCGGUACAAAGGGUCGCCAACCCGCGAGGGGGAGCCAAUCCCAGAAAGCCGAUCGUAGUCCGGAUUGCAGGCUGCAACUCGCCUGCAUGAAGUCGGAAUCGCUAGUAAUCGUGGAUCAGCAUGUCACGGUGAAUACGGUCCCGGCCUUGUACACA